UGGCGCGGCUGAGACACCCAUCUCCGUUCCCGAACAGCACUUUCCUCCCCACUUUGCCACCAACGGCGAACCCGCCAAUCUCCCCUGCCUCAACCGGGCCAUUGGAGACCGGGGUUUCGCUUCGCUCGUAAACCCUAAUCUAGUCCACCUCUCGCCAAUCCAGUCCAGUACCUCGACGGUCAGCCUCUCCGAUCUCACCCGAUGCCCCGACCUCGACCCCGCGGGCGGGGCAAAACCAGAUCCGGCUCGCAAAGGAUGGAUUCCGAAGAGGGCACCGCACCACCGGCUCCGGAACAGGCGGCGUGUGAUCCGUCGCAAGAAGAGAGUGCGGCGCCGGUGGACGAAGAGAGGGCAGACACUGACGCGGUAGCGGGAGAAGACCAAGGGACGAGUGAGAACGAGGCGGAACGGACACGCGAAGAGCUCGAGCGGACGGUCACGGAGCUCAGCAUCCAGAACGAGUACCUCAAGUCUCAGAUCGCUGGUGCUCAGCAGCUGGCGAAUAGCGCCGAGGUGGGAAUAGGCAGUGGGAGGGAAGACGAGGAUGACUCCGAGCUCGUUAGGAGCUUGAAGGAGCAGGUCGAAAGGCUUAGCAAGGAGGUUCAAGAGCAAAAGCAGACGCAGAAGGUAGCGGAGGCGGCCCUCGAGCACGUCAAUAUGUCCUACGCCGAGGCGGAUGGCAAGGUUCAGGAGCUCACGGCGAAGCUCAACGAAGCUCAACUGAAGAUUGAAAAAGAACUAAAGGAACGAGAUGACAAAUAUGUUGAGUUGGAUACUAAGUUCCAGAGGCUUCACAAGCGUGCGAAAAACCGUAUACAAGAUAUACAGAAGGAAAAAGAUGAUCUGGAAGCUCGGUUUAAUGAAAUUAAUCAGAAGGCUAUGGAAACUGCUUCUCUACAGCUAGCGGCACAACAGGAACUGGAACGUGCUCGUCACCAGGCUAGUGAGGCUUUACGGGCAAUGGAUGCUGAAAGACAGCAACUGCGGACUGUGAACAACAAGUUAAGAUGUAAUUUUGACGAGACACGGCUUGCUUUGGAGGCCAGGAAUAAUGCCCUUGAGAAAUUGCAACAGUCAAUGCUUGAAAAAGAGCAGAUGCUAGAACAAAUCCAAAGAUCAAUGCAGUCUGCUGAAGAAAAGAGGCAUGCAUCAGUUUCAGAGCUUUCUGCUAAGCAUCACAAGCAAUUAGAGAGCUUGGAGGCACAGCUAGCUGAGGUUUCUGCAGAGAGGACAAAGGCAUCCGAAACGAUUCAAUCACUGCAGAUGGUACUCGCGAAGAAAGAUUCAGAAAUAACCGGAAUUGAAGCAGCAUCAACCGGUGAAGCUGCCCGGCUUAAAGCUACCUUGGAGGAGAUUAAAGGCGAGCUUACUCAUUUGAAGGACCAACAUGAAAAAGAAAGACAAAGCUGGGAAGCCGAAUGUGAAUCCCUUAGAGAAAAAUUGGAAGCAUUGGAAAGUGCGCGCUUUAGAUCUGAGAUAGAAUCUGCCAAAUUUAGAAAUCAAUUGGAAUCAGAGUUGUCAAUGCAAAAUCAAUUGCUCCAAAACAAAGAUUCGGAUCUAAUUUCUGCGAAGGAGGAGAUCAGUCGACUAGAAAGUGAGUUUUCCGCGUACAAGAUCCGUGCACAUGCACUUUUGCAAAGGAAGGAUGCUGAGUUGAGCACAGCUCAAAAUUCAGAUGUUCUUAAAGCACAUGAAGAAGCAAUAAGAGAAGCUGAAAAGGAGGUGGCAGCUGCCUUAGAAGAACGAGAUGAAGCGAUCCAGGACCUUCAAGUUGCUCAAUGCAGGCAUAGUGAAGAGAUCGAGGCAAGGGAUUUGGGUCUUGCGGAGUUGGACAAAAAACUGAAGAAUGUCAUGAAAAAAUUAGAUUAUGUUACCUCUCAAUUUCUCUCAGAAAAAGAAUCAUGGGAGAAAAAAUUGGCAAGUGUAGAGGAAAGCUGGAGAUUAAAAUGUGAGUCUAUGAAGGGUCAAAGCAAUGUCCAUGUUGAAGACCACCUUCAGAAGAACCUAGGGGAAUGGACACUGAAGUAUGAGAAAUUGAAGGAAGAGCAUGAAUCGUUCCGUGAUAUUUCUGAUAGAAUGAUUGAAGAGAAGGAACGGGAGAUAGCUAAACUUCUCAAUGAAAACAAGGAUCUUCAUCAUUCUUUAGAGGCUAAAGCAGCAGUCAGCAAACGUGACAAUCUAAGUCCAGGAUAUGUUAAACAGGAUGCACUAAGUAUUGAAUUGGCUGAGCAGCAAAUUCUGGUCUACCGAACAAAAAACCAAGCAUAUCUGAAGAUGUUGAACGAGCAGUCAAACGAGCUUGUUCUCCCACGCCAGGAUAAAAUAUUGCGCGUCACAUCGCGACUAAGCGUGCGUGCAACAGGAGCCUCACCCCCGUGCACCGAUCCAACCAGCUAUAACAACUGGGAUACGACAUCUCACAGUUUUCAGCUUACAAUUGUGUACAUUUCAGCUUCUUGCACGGCAACAAGCACAAAGGGAAGAAGAAUUGGCAAGAAGUUGAAGAUCUUGAGCGUGAAAACCGUCUUCAUGAUCAACAGGAAGCAAUGUUGAAGGCUGAGCUUCGGAAUAUGGAGAGAUCACAAAAGCGAGAAGGAGUAGAUAUGACAUACCUAAAAAAUGUGAUCUUAAAGCUUCUUGAAACAGGGGAGGUGGGGGCCUUGCUGCCUGUGGUUGCGAUGCUACUACAGUUCAGCCCUGACGAGCUCAAUAAAUGCCAACAUGGCGUCCUCUCAAAUGUCGCUUCCUUACCAGCUACAGCAUUGUCAGAUGGUGGAUCGACACCAAACUCAUUCUUUGGAAGAUUCACAUUCUAAUAGCGGUGCAAGAUGUUGGUUUUGAUUAUCCAUGUUUUAGCAGAGGUAGAUUUACAUUCAUGGGGUGAUUCAAAAUCCCAGCGAUUUUACUGAUUGUGAUUCUUUUGUUUGCAUGUUUCUCAUCUCUUACCUUUCGUAAAGCAGUGUAUAUUAUAAAAAUAGAAAACCAUAACUAUCUAUGUAUGUACUUUCAAUAUAAGCAUUCAUUCUCAAAGGGAACAUUA